UACGGAGGGAGCUAGCGUUGUUCGGAAUUACUGGGCGUAAAGCGCACGUAGGCGGCUUUUUAAGUCAGAGGUGAAAUCCCAGGGCUCAACCCUGGAACUGCCUUUGAAACUGGGAAGCUAGAAUCUUGGAGAGGCGAGUGGAAUUCCGAGUGUAGAGGUGAAAUUCGUAGAUAUUCGGAAGAACACCAGUGGCGAAGGCGACUCGCUGGACAAGUAUUGACGCUGAGGUGCGAAAGCGUGGGGAGCAAACAGG
rnacentral:rRNA from 1 species